UUAUCUGUGGUGCACCUCAACCCCGACGUGGCUGAUUCUAUCUCAUGGAAGCUUUCUAAUGAUGGCUCUUACUCCGCGUCCUUGGCCUACAAGGUCCAGUUCCUGGGCUUAGUUGACUCCAACAUGCAACAAUUGGUGUGGAAGAUCUGGGUUCCCCCCCCCCAAUUCAAAUUCUUUGCUUGGCUGGUGAUCAAUAAUAGGAUAUGGACGACCGUGUAG
rnacentral:rRNA from 1 species